rnacentral:rRNA from 1 species
CCAGACUCCUACGGGAGGCAGCAGUGGGGAAUAUUGCACAAUGGGGGAAACCCUGAUGCAGCGACGCCGCGUGAGCGAUGAAGUAUUUCGGUAUGUAAAGCUCUAUCAGCAGGGAAGAAAAUGACGGUACCUGACUAAGAAGCCCCGACUAACUACGCGCCAGCAGCCGCGGUAAUACGUAGGGGGCAAGCGUUAUCCGGAUUUACUGGGUGUAAAGGGAGCGUAGACGGUCCUGCAAGCCAGAUGUGAAAACCCGGGGCUCAACCCCGGGAGUGCAUUUGAAACUGUCCAGCUAGAGUGCAGGAGAGGUAAGCGGAAUUCCUAGUGUAGCGGUGAAAUGCAUAGAUAUUAGGAGGAACACCAGUGGCGAAGGCGGCUUACUGGACUGUAACUGACACUGAGGCUCGAAAGCGUGGGGAGCAAACAGGAUUAGAUACCCCUGUA